GAUGAACGCUGGCGGCGUGCCUAAUACAUGCAAGUCGAGCGAACAGACGAGGAGCUUGCUCCUCUGACGUUAGCGGCGGACGGGUGGGUAACACGUGGAUAACCUACCUAUAAGACUGGGAUAACUUCGGGAAACCGGAGCUAAUACCGGAUAAUAUAUUGAACCGCAUGGUUCAAUAGUGAAAGACGGUUUUGCUGUCACUUAUAGAUGGAUCCGCGCCGCAUUAGCUAGUUGGUAAGGUAACGGCUUACCAAGGCAACGAUGCGUAGCCGACCUGAGAGGGUGAUCGGCCACACUGGAACUGAGACACGGUCCAGACUCCUACGGGAGGCAGCAGUAGGGAAUCUUCCGCAAUGGGCGAAAGCUUGACGGAGCAACGCCGCGUGAGUGAUGAAGGUCUUCGGAUCGUAAAACUCUGUUAUUAGGGAAGAACAAAUGUGUAAGUAACUAUGCACGUCUUGACGGUACCUAAUCAGAAAGUCACGGCUAACUACGUG
rnacentral:rRNA from 1 species